GUAUGGGUUAGGUUUAGGGUUAAAGGGAGGGGAAAAUAGGAUUUUGACUGGGACUGAAUUGUGUGUCCUCACAAGGUUAGCUGUACAAGACGGCACGUGUGUGUGUGUCUAAGCCUGCUAGGUAGUGAGUGUAAACUAAAUCUCUGUUUACAUCCUCAGACAAAGCAGCUCAUGCAUGUUUUAUCACCAGCGCAUUGUUCAAUUUGUCCAUGAGUAACACUGCCCUGCCACGAAGCUGCUUAACCCAGGGAGGGAGGGAGAGAGAGCGAGAUGUCGAGAGAGAAGGGAGAUAUGCCAAGCUCUCUCUCUCCCUCGUUCUCUCUCUCACCUGAGGCUUAUCAGUUUCAGUGCUGUAACCUGAGCUAUCACGGACCUCAAUACCCAACCCAACCACAACACACAAGUGACCCUGUAUACCCUAGUGCCUGGUCUAGGAUCAGAUGUGUUCAUUAGCACAGACUGGUGAGGAUUGAAAUAAGGUUUAAAGCUAACUGACUCUGAAUCAGUGGGUAACCAGUGGCAAGCAGCACCUGAGCAGCGUGGCCCAGCCCCAGCAUCCCACUAACUGACUGGUGGACUGGGUGGUACCUGCAUAGGUAAUCAGACACCCAGCACACACAUGAUGCCUCUGAAACACACACACACACAGCAGGUAGGCAGGACGAGGGGUUCACUGUGUUGAAGAGAGAGUUGUUCCAUCUUUUGUACUGCCAGAGAGUGCGAGAGAAGGAGGAGAGAAGAAAGAAGAGCUAGUCACAACCAGGCGAAGGAGUCGAGACCAGGAACCCCAGACAGACCCAGACUGACCCAGACAGAGAUAAAGCAUUGGCUUACGAAGUAUUUAGAUCAUAUACUGAACCAUGAGUGGAGGAAAAAGGUGUGUUGUAGCUGGAGGACUCAAAAACACACAGGGUAAGAUAGUGUGACUGACCGGUGGAUACUCAGUGCACUCAUCAACACAGUGAAGAAUGGCCUUAGAAUUCCUCUUCUUCUGGCGCUGAGGAUAUUAACCUGGGGGAAAGGAGAGAACAGGUGUCUCUUGCAGGCUCUUGAGGGUGACAACGCUGUGGCUUGACUGACUCCUGACAGACCUGUUGUGGGGAAACACCCGGAAAGUGUUGUUGCCAUUGGGGGCUUUGUAUGGUUGUUUUCCGUGUGAUUCUACAUUCUAUCAGCAUGCACGGUCUCCCCUGUUCUGCGCUGCUCCACUGUUUCGGCAGUCCCGCAGACGUUACAGCCAACCCUACACAGUCCCUGGACCCGGACCCCUCCCGAUCCGGCAGAACUGAUCUAGAACCCCCCGUGGUGGUGGGCCCUGUUCUCUGCCAACCGGUUCCCAAACCAGACCCCCAUCUGGAACACCAGCCCCACCACAGAAUUGUCAGCUUUAUAUCUACACACACCAGAACAAGAACUCUGAAUGGCACCUACUCCAACUCCAAUGGUCAACUGCCAGGGAGGGAGAGCCACAGCUUUAAGACACCUCUGGCCUGCCAUUGCCUGUCAGACAGCGUUGAGGGGCAUCAUGAGCUGGUGAUUGGUUUAGAGCUUGGGGUGAAGUACCCUAUCAUCCCCAGACCCUCCAUCAUUAUCAGACAACCCAAGCAAUCAGAAUUCCAGGAAGCUUCGUCUGACUGGUCGGAAUAUAUGGAGGACGGGACAUUAUCAGGUACAGAAAUGAACACAAACGUCCUGUUCUCUCUUCCUUUCACCAUCCUCUCUACUCCUGCUCUCGUUACUCCUUCAUUCUCUUCCUCUCCUCCUUUCCCUCCACAUUUCUGGAUAUAUAUUUGGGAAGGAAAACCCCUGGCACGUACUGUGAUCUCAUAAUGGAAAAACAAAACUUAACAUUUGUGUGUGGAGAGAUGGGUCUGUGGAAAAUAUCAUCAUAAAACAUUUUCUCACUCUGCAAUAAACCACCAAAUUAUUGUUUUGCUUCCCAAGUUGACUUUGUUCAUAUUCUACAGCAUUCAAAAGUCUACUGUAUUUAGGUUUUUCUUGUUUAAUGUUUUCUUGGAACUCUAAGUACAAAGGAAAUACUUCUGAGGGGUCAUUACCUUUUCCCCUCCAUGUCUUGUUAUGUUCAUACUGAAGUAAACUGCAAGAGGAGUACUCAUUAAAACGUCUGUAUCUGUGGUGAUGUAGGGAUGUGGAAAAAAGGAUAGCCUGCUUGAG